rnacentral:tRNA from 1 species
AGCUCAGUCGAUAGAGCGCAAGGCUCUUAACCUUGUGGUCUUGGGUUUGAGCCCCAU